rnacentral:lncRNA from 1 species
UGGGGCAACACAAAAACUGAUCUAAACUACCCAAAACCAGAUUUUUAAUUUUUUUGUAUUGUGUUUUUCCCAGAGAAUUAGUUGCAGUGCAGAUUAAUUUUGUGGCUGAAAGUUUGGCUUGCCUGCCUUGGAAUGAGGACUGAAAGGGUUGUGCUACGUGGAUUAGUUCCCCAGUUCCCUGGAGAACCUGUAAAUGGUGUUCUUUGCUGAAGGCAUCACCUCCCUUGGCUGAAAUACUACCAGUUUUGCCUCUCCUUGUUGGGGCUGUCAUCCCUGACUGUCAGCUGCUGUGGCUUUCUCUCCAGAGCACACCAGGGAUGCAGUUUCCCUCCUGUCUGCGCAGGCAAGGAGCAGAAUGCCUGCAAAAUGCAAACCUGGGAUGGACAAACCCUGCACUUACUGACAAUUUAGUGCAAAUAAGGUGAAAUCCUCUUGUUACUGAUGCUAAAGAGCACACAGGAAUCCAACCCAUGCCGUCCCCCCAGUCUACAUCUUGAGUUUUUGAAAAGUAAAUGCAAUCCCAAGAGUCCUGAGGACUGCUGAUUCACAAAUGCCCCUUGGAAAUUUUCUCAUGGAUCUGGAUGCUGGACCCUGUUGCCUUGGUCAGACCCUGUCUACACAGUCAGCAUCCAUCCCAAUUCAUGGAAAAGAGCAAAAGAAAUCAAAUCAUCUGUAUGGAAUACUGAAAUUAAAUUAACCAGCUGUGAUUUUGAGUAAAGAAACAAGGUAAGAAGCUGAAGGAAAAAAAAAUUCUCAGGAAGGCAGAAAAUAAAGCAGCAAAAUAACCCAAGAUUAAAUGUCAGUGUAAAAAAUCUCAAAUAAAGCCCUUCCAGUUCUGAGUCCCCACUUGGGUUUGGGUUGCUGUUGCUCCCAGGCAUGGUACAAAGGUAUUUGCUGUAGAGAUUUCCCCUCCUUUUUCACCCUUUCUCUAUCCACGUUGCCUUGAGUUCUUUUCACCAUCACUUUUCCCUGGAGGUUCUCCAGUGCUGUUGCCCCAAGCCCUUUGUGCCUCC